UAAUCCAAGGAGAGAGAAAAGAACAAAG
rnacentral:piRNA from 1 species